UUCCUCAAAAUCAAGCCAAAAAGUUGAAGGGAGGGGAGCCGGUAUUUGUGGAUAAACUGGGGAUGCUGCAAGCUGAGUGGGUGGCCUCUUCUCUAUCACAUCUCCUGAUUCCCCAAGCUUCUCUCUCUGUGCUCAUGGAGGAGCUUGGCUGCUCAGCUUGCUUCAACACUGGAGCACACUUACCCCAUCACCCACCUGCAGGACUGCCUUAGUUGCAGGGGCUGCUCAGGAUGAGGUUUAGCACUUUAAUGUAUGAACUGGAGCACAUCUGUAAACAUCAGCUCCUUUAGUCUUGUGGUCAUUUGAGACAUUUGGCCAAAAACAUCUAUUCUUGGCUGCUUUUUGGCUUUUCUGGUGGGAAGGAUUUGGGAUUUUCUUCUAUCUAGCCAGAUGCGGGCAGCUGUGGGAUGAGCCAAACUGCCCUAGGCUGUCUCCAUCUCCCCCAGCACUUGCAUUCAGUGGUGCUGCUGAGCUGCCAGCAUUAGUGGUGGGUUUGAAAGGUGGACAUUUGUCCUUCUGCAUUGGACAGAGAGCACCAGGCUGGCUUUAGGCAGGCAGUGAGAAGUCAAAGGCCACAGGGACUGUCCCAUGCAGCAGCAUCCCAGGACUGGCCAGCGCUGGACCAGAAAUAGUUACACAAGGCAGAAAGGAAAGGAAAGCAAGUUCACACUGCACUCAAGGAGAGGAGCAGGUGCUGAGGCGCAUUUGAUUUCAAUCUCUCCAAACAGACUGGAAACAGGGGAAGCAGCUACUUGUCUCCUGCAGCACCAAGUUUCCACAGAACAAAAACACCAUGUUACAGAUGAAAGGGCCUGGAAACACUGGAAAAAAAAAACAAACCACUUGAGAAGAAAAAUUACACCAAAGAGCAAAUCGUCCCAGAAUUAAAGAAGCAGCAGACCCUGGUAUCAAGGCAUUUUUGGUCUGAAAAAGCCCAGAGGAUUUCUGCUAUGCUUCCUAGUGAAGGGCAUAAAAUGCAGCAGCUGUUAAAAGUCACGCUCUGGUGCUCCACCUACCCAAUGUGCUGAAUUCAAAAGAAGGUGACGAAACUCUUAACAGGGCAAGAAAGGCAUAAAAUGGAGGAUCAGAAACCUGUGCCCGAAGAAAAGGUUCGGGAGGGGCAAAUGGCUCUUUCACCUCAGCAGCCGCCUGACUCUACAAGCCUUCGUCUUCCCCUACACCUAUUUCCACUGAAUGCAAUUCAUGGGAACAAAUCACAUUUUGGGAGCUCUUUGGAAGCAGAGAUUUCAGAUGUGCCAUUGCUAACUCUUAGGUAAGACCUUGCUUCACGUUUUUACCUCUGGGAGCUCAUGACCCCAUCCAGUCACUGAACCCUGGUUGAGCAUCCUCAGCUGAUUCUCCUCGUGAAGAUGAAGGAGGCAAAAAAGAUGGGUGAUGGAGAGGCAGCACCAGGUUCUCUCCCAUGCAAGCCCUACACCCUGCACAGACCUUGGGAAAGGCACCUGCAAGCAGGCACCUAUAGCUCACUUUGGCCCCUGAGGGAGGGCAAGCCAGCAGUGGAGGGGUGGGAAGAUGCUGUAGAACCUGUGCUAAAACAGAGCUUUCAACAGCUCCUGAGCGGUGGGAACUGGCAUCAUUGCUGGGAUUGAUGUGGGAGUGCUGCCCCAGCCCUGGCCCUUGGGGUUUAACUGGAGCAGAGCACUGAAGUGCCCCGAGGACCUGGCUCUCGGGUCCUCCAGAGGCUUUUUUAGAUCCUUGGCUGGUGGUUUGGUGUUGCUCCAGCACAUACCUCACUCCCUUACUCCUUCCCCUGCAGUCCCUUUCCAGAAGACCAUGCUGCUGUCCUAGGAGAGCUGCCAGUGCCAGCUGCCUCUAUAAAUACUCCUGCUAUAAAUUUAGAGAGCUCAGUCCCUGGCAGGCACAGCCCUGCCUCCAUCACCACGUUGUAGGGUGUCGGGCUGGAAACUCGCAGGCUGUGAGCACUGUCACAAGAGAAACAGCUAUUAAUGUCCUAUUAGAAGACUUACAUUUUGAUUUUCAAUGGAUUAAUGAAAGCAAUGCAAUGGUGGUUCUCUGGUACUGCAACCUUCCUGUUGCCUUGGUCUUAUUUAAGCCAAAUAUGUUAAUUUUUGUACCAGGAUAAAGUGUUGUGUUUUUUUAAAGCAAACUAAGACACGUAAGCAUGCAAAAGCGCUGCAGUCUCUGCUGCAAUAAGCCUGGGAGCGGGGGUUAGAUGUCAGUGUCUUGGGGUCAGACCUGCAGGUCUUUGUCUCGCCAUUUCACAGAAUAGUCAGCAUGAAGCUUCCCGCGGUUGCAGGAUACAUCCUUCCAUUUCAAAGGCUCCAGCUUCCCCAGCAGCAGCGGGCUGAAGGCAGCUCUCACCCCCUGUCCCCCUUUGCUCUCCCCAGUCUGGGGAAUAGCAGCAGCGGUAUUUCUCAGGUUGAUCUAAAGGGAUGUUGUUUAUGCUGUCUUUCCCCAGAUUGACUUUCUGAACCUUUUCACGUUCGGGCUGAUACCCCAGGAAUGGCCCUGUGGGAUUCAAACCGAUGCAAGGAGGAGGAAAGCCUUGCCUGGCUACAUGUUUCCAACAGCCCCCUUGUGAUGUUAAAGACCAUCUCAGGGAUGGGCUGCAGUGGGAGCUGCUUUCAGUCCUGAGUGCCACAUCAUCUACAACCACACUUCCAGUGAGAGAAUCAAGAUUUAUUCUUACAAAGAACGAAAUAUGCACUUUUCCUCUUUUUGGGGAAAGCUCUCACUCCCUUCUACUCGCUUGCCAGGAGGAACGGCUUGCUGGAAGUUGAGGGAAACUUCUGCUUGAGACCCAGGAAAUGCAUGAAUUCCUCUUCACGUUUCUCUUGGUGCACCUCCUUUUAGCACGCAAGAAUUUCUUUCCCAGUCACAGAGAAAAGCAAGCAAGAGAAGGAGCCGGUGGGCAGCAGAGCCCCUGCCAGCGUUUUAUUUCCAUAAGCGAUCUAGUGACCUUGGUGGCUUUGAAAUAAGGUUUUGGUGGGUGAGUACCUGGCCAGUGCAGACACAGCUAAGAGGACUGAUGCUUUUGCAUUACAAGAGACUGAGAAAAUCAUUGGCAUUCAGGCUUGAAACAGCCUGUCCUGGAAUUGCAGUACUCCUGUUUCCUGCAGAGGUGGGGAGCAGCCCCCCUUCCCCCCAAGGCAGUCCCAUAUGUACUGCUCCUCCCUGUGGCUCCGGGAGCUGUGUUGGGGAGUGUGGGCGCCAUGUCACGGGGGAGUGGGAAGGGUGGGAGGAAUGACUGUUCUCCUGUGCUUAUAUUUAUCUCCUGGUCGAUGACCAAGCUCAAAAGGCAGGAUACGCCUCCCUGGAGCCUGUAAAACUCACAAACAUCUACCUGGGAAGGAUGCAAACCCGAACCCCGCUACUAAAAAUAUUCAGGCAAACAGAGACUUUCCAAAACAGAGUUCCAGAAAUGCUAAAUUUGGUGGUGACUCGUUGAGGGAGGGGGGCACAACUGCUUUAUUUUUUUUUCCCCUAAGGCAAACAGGAACAAUGUAAAUCCCAAACGCCAUUCGUCCUACCCCCUCGGCUGGGCUGCCGUUCUUUGAAGUGCCCAUCAAUAACCCCAUAGGCACCGGCUUCCCAAGAAGGCGGACCUGCCGCAAAAACAGGAAUCCCUUAUCGGCCGGCAGGAAAUCCUAUUUUUACACGAAGUUCAGAUUAAAAAUAAAAGGGAAAGAUACGCGCCGGGGGUGCGGGCUAAAAUUAAACCUUGAGCUUCUCCCCUGAUGGCUGGCUCCUGCUGCUCGCCUGAUUGAGAAACUGAUGGUGAACGCCAAGAAGGAGCCUGCUGGCACUGCCUGCUCUCAGUGGGGUUUGCUCUGCAAAAGUGCGUUUCUCCUCACAGCGAGCUUUGUGAGUGUGCCUUAAAUAAACCACCCUGGACCACUGCUGUGGCCAAGCUGUGUGUCCCGGGCAAGUGGGAAGAGGCUCUUUCACAGCUUCUUCAUGCAGCUCCUUGAUGUGUUUCUGAGCCAAAGGUUUGGUUUCUGGCUGGCCCGUGAGCUGCCCUGUCCUAUGCCCAACCCAAGCCUUUCUCUGACCAAGCAUCUCUGCCUCCAAGUGUUUGACAUGAUGUAUUUGUGCAACUUGAGAGUCUGCCUUGCCCAAGUGACUCCCUUGUCACCAGCAAAGGAUGGCCCAGCACAUCUGGUCUGGAUUUUGAGCACCACCUUACAAAGUUUGCUGGAUUCAUAAGUAAUGAAAGAAGCUCUGGGCCACAAUCCCCAGAUCUCUUCCUUUCUUGCAGUCCAGCACUGAAAAGCGACUGCCAGAACAGCACUGUGGUUGUGUAUUUUCAUUACCACUGUGAUUUGUACAAUAAAUGCAACCCGUUUGCA